rnacentral:rRNA from 1 species
UACGGGGGGGGCAAGCGUUGUUCGGAAUUACUGGGCGUAAAGGGCUCGUAGGUGGCCAACUAAGUCAUACGUGAAAUCCCACGGCUUAACCGGGGAACUGCGUCUGAUACUGGAUGGCUUGAGGUUGGGAGAGGGAUGCGGAAUUCCAGGUGUAGCGGUGAAAUGCGUAGAUAUCUGGAGGAACACCGGUGGCGAAGGCGGCAUCCUGGACCAAUUCUGACACUGAGGAGCGAAAGCCAGGGGAGCAAACGGG